rnacentral:rRNA from 1 species
GAUGAACGCUGGCGGCGUGCCUAAUACAUGCAAGUCGAGCGAACGGACGAGAAGCUUGCUCUUCUGAUGUUAGCGGCGGACGGGAGAGUAACACGUGGAUAACCUACCUAUACGACUGGGAUAACUUCGGGAAACCGGAGCUAAUACCGGAUAAUAUUUUGAACCGCAUGGUGCACAAGUGAAAGACGGUCUUGCUGUCACUUAUAGAUGAAUCCGCGCUGCAUUCGCUAGUUGGUAAGGUGACGGCUUACCAAGGCAACGAUGCAUAGCCGACCUGAGAGGGUGAUCGGACAGCCUGGAACUGAGACACGGCCCAGACUCCUACGGGAGGCAGCAGUAGGGACUCUUACGCGAUGGGCGAAAGCCUGACGGAGCAACGCCGGGUGAGUGAUGAAGGUGCUCGGAUCGUAAAACUCUGUUAUUAGUGAAGAACAAAUGUGUAAGUAACUGUGCACAUCUUGACGGUACCUAAUGAGAAAGCCCCGGCUAACUACGUG